rnacentral:lncRNA from 1 species
GAAAAUACCAGACAAUUAAGCACAAUUCCCUGAUUAAUUCUAGCACAAUAAACUAAGUGAAAUCAAUAAAAUAUCGACUCAUCAAAAUAGACCACACUUAGUCUUUUGCACUCCUGGGCAAAAUCAAGACGCAAAUCAAGGAACAGUUCAACAAACAUCAGGGAAUGACACGGACUCAACAGAUAGAAAAGAAAGACUCACAAUGAAAGAAACAGAAUUACACAGUUCUCAAGAAAUCUGGACAGUGAAAGAAGUAGACAAAAUCCCAC